GCCACUGUUCCUCUCAUCAGCUGCAAAUGGACGAUGACUGGGAUGGAGCUAAUGCACAGGCAAGCAUCGCUGUUGGAGGUAAGGUUUCUCAACUCUUUCUUUUCACAACACUAUCAUUUCAGAAUAUGCCUCUUGUGAUAUUCAGCAGUGAGAAAAAAUGAUUGUUGAAAAAUUACAGAACAGAAUUAUUAUUUACCUGGGAGGGUUUUGUAACAAAGGCAGCAAAUUAAAAACUUCUAUUUAAUUUUCAGUUUCAGACCCCAAGAACUUGGGCGUAUUUUACUGUGGAUUUUCAAGAUUACCAGGGAAUAGAUCUUUCUGAUCCUUGAAAGCAGUUGUAACUUCCCUGUUGGUGAAGGCUCUCUCCAUGUAUAGAACUGUAAACACCUCUGACACAAAUACGAACAUUUGCAGUAUGCAACAUUUGCUCAGAGAAUUAGAGCAAACUCAGCUGUUCAAACUUUGGAUCUGAAACUGUCUGAGUAAACUGGACACUGACUGAAACCCAUACUGUCGUGGUUUAAGCACAACCAACAACUAAAGUACCAUGCAGCCACUCACUUACUCCCACCUUCUUGGUGGGAUGGGGAAGAGAACUGGGAAUAAAAAGAUAAAAACCCAUGGGUUCCAACAAGAGCAGUAUAAUUGAAAUAAAGAAUAAUAUAAUCAUAACAACAUCAAUAAUAAUAGGAAAUAGAGAGGAACAAACCCCAAAAAAGACAAGUGAUGCACAGUACAACUGCUCACCACCUGCUGACCAAUACCUAGUCCAUCCCCAAGCAAUGAUCAGUCCCUUACAGGUGACUCCCCCCAGGUUAUAUAUGGGGCAUGACGUGCUGUGGUAUGGAAUACCCCUUUGGCUAGUUCAGGUCAGCUGUCCUGGCUGCGCUCUCUCCCAGCUUCUUGUGUGCCUCCUCACUGGCAGGGCAUGAGACUCAAAAGUCCUUCAUCAGGGUAAGCACUACUGAGCAACAACGAAAACAUUGGUGUGUUAUCAGCGUCGUUCUCAGAGUAAAGCCAAAACACUGCACUGCACCAGCUACUAAGAAGAAAAUUAACUCUAUCCCUGCUGAAACCAGGACAGAUGCUUUGUGUGGGAGGUGUAGGCGACAGGAUCUGCAUGAUGAGCUUGAGCAACACUCUGAAGACAAGCUCUGAGGCCUUGAUACCGAACAAGCCUUGGGCCGAUAAGCCAGGAUGUUGAAAGACAGGAAAUGUAACAAAGAAUUUCAGUUGAAGAUCAGGGAAUGAGGCAAGAUGUGAAGCAAGAAGGCUGAACUGUCGUCACGUGAACAGCAUGUGAUCAGCAUUGUGAUUGGACUGUUGCGCACAUGUUUAACCUAUGGGAUUUUCACAGAAUCCAAUGAGAUUGAGUGUGGCAUGCUCAUGCUUGUUGGGAAAGUACCGAAUGAGGGAAUAAAAGGGCUUGAUUGUAAUAAAGCUUUGUCUCAGUAUCCUCACCGACCUGAGUCCAUAUCUCAAUACGCCACAGCUUUGUAACAUUAUCUGAUCCCGUGAGUAGAUUAUACAUUGUUUGAAUGGAGGGAGAAUAAAAAAUAUAAUUGGAACUGA